GAUGAACGCUGGCGGCGUGCUUAACACAUGCAAGUCGAACGAUGAAGCCCAGCUUGCUGGGUGGAUUAGUGGCGAACGGGUGAGUAACACGUGAGUAACCUGCCCUUGACUCUGGGAUAAGCCUGGGAAACUGGGUCUAAUACUGGAUAUGACUUCUCAUCGCAUGGUGGGGAGUGGAAAGAUUUAUUGGUCUUGGAUGGACUCGCGGCCUAUCAGCUUGUUGGUGAGGUAAUGGCUCACCAAGGCGACGACGGGUAGCCGGCCUGAGAGGGUGACCGGCCACACUGGGACUGAGACACGGCCCAGACUCCUACGGGAGGCAGCAGUGGGGAAUAUUGCACAAUGGGCGCAAGCCUGAUGCAGCGACGCCGCGUGAGGGAUGACGGCCUUCGGGUUGUAAACCUCUUUCAGUAGGGAAGAAGCGAGAGUGACGGUACCUGCAGAAGAAGCGCCGGCUAACUACGUG
rnacentral:rRNA from 1 species